AUGGUUCCAAAAAUUGGAGCUGGGAUCUGUUUGGAGGAGACUGCGGUAGCCAGUGAAGAAAAGAUUACUGUUAACGAGGUAGAGAAGCCAGAAGCAACCAGGGAAUCUUGUGGUAACGGAGAAUUGAAGGGGUUGGCCACACAACUAAGCCAAGAAAGCUGUGUCUCUGCAAUAGAUGAUGUUGGAUCUUUGAUAGAAGAUGAGGAAGAGGAUGUAAACUCCGUGGAUGUUUGCAAUAAGGUUGAUGAAGCAAAGUGUUGUGUUGAGUGGACAAACAUAUUAAUAGGACAUGCUUCUGGCAAUGAUGAUAAGGUAGUACGAGAUAUUGAUUCGGACAUUCAUGUUUCACCAGAAGAUCAGGUUGUUCAGUCUCUGGAUGAAGAUUCUGAUUCUGCUUUGAGAGCAUCAGUGAGAUCAGUUUGUCCGGCUAAAUGCAUGGAUAUGGACGUGAAUUCUGUCAGUGAAACUUCACAAUUAUCGAGUAGUUCUUGUAUGGAUGAGUCAGAGGGUGAAUCAAGCAAUGGAACUCAAGUAGAAAAGGCACCAGAAUAUAGUGAAGGGAGAACCUCUGAUAUGGACAUUGACUUUGGAGAUAACUCACUUGAUGAAAUGACUUUUGAAGCAACUAAAGAACAUAAGGAAUCAAGAAGCCCUGAUGUGGAUGACGAGGUGAAAGAUGUUCAUGGUGAUGGAAUGCUGCAACGUAGUGGUAGUUUUGAGAAUCUAGAAAUCCCAGUUCAUGAGACUAUUCAAAUCAUGGAACCGGUCGAGAUGGUUCCAAAAAUUGGAGCUGGGAUCUGUUUGGAGGAGACUGCGGUAGCCAGUGAAGAAAAUAUUACUGUUACCGAGGUAGAGAAGCCAGAAGCAACCAGGGAAUCUUGUGGUAAAGGAGAAUUGAAGGGGUUGGCCGCACAACUAAGCCAAGAAAGCUGUGUCUCUGCAAUAGAUGAUGUUGGAUCUUUGAUAGAAGAUGAGGAAGAGGAUGUAAACUCCGUGGAUGUUUGCAAUAAGGUUGAUGAAGCAAAGUGUUGUGUUGAGUGGACAAACAUAUUAAUAGGACAUGCUUCUGGCAACGAUGAUAAGGUAGUACGAGAUAUUGAUUCGGACAUUCAUGUUUCACCAGAAGAUCAGGUUGUUCAGUCUCUGGAUGAAGAUUCUGAUUCUGCUUUGAGAGCAUCAGUGAGAUCAGUUUGUCCUGCUAAAUGCAUGGAUAUGGAGGUGAAUUCUGUCGGUGAAACUUCACAAUUAUCGAGUAGUUCUUGUAUGGAUGAGUCAGAGGGUGAAUCAAGCAAUGGAACUCAAGUAGAAAAGGCACCAGAAUAUAGUGAAGGGAGAACCUCUGAUAUGGACAUUGACUUUGGAGAUAACUCACUUGAUGAAAUGACUUUUGAAACAACUAAAGAACAUAAGGAAUCAAGAAGCCCUGAUGUGGAUGACGAGGUGAAAGAUGUUCAUGGUGAUGGAAUGCUGCAAC
rnacentral:lncRNA from 1 species